ACUGACUCGAAUCCUGCGAGCAAAGCUGUGUAUCGUGUUUUGUUCGUUCGGCUCGAGUUAGGA
rnacentral:pre_miRNA from 1 species